UACGUAGGGCGCAAGCGUUGUCCGGAAUUAUUGGGCGUAAAGAGCUCGUAGGCGGUUUGUCGCGUCUGCUGUGAAAACCCGAGGCUCAACCUCGGGCCUGCAGUGGGUACGGGCAGACUAGAGUGUGGUAGGGGGAGACUGGAAUUCCUGGUGUAGCGGUGGAAUGCGCAGAUAUCAGGAGGAACACCAAUGGCGAAGGCAGGUCUCUGGGCCACAACUGACGCU
rnacentral:rRNA from 1 species